rnacentral:lncRNA from 1 species
CCGAGGUCCUGACUCUCUGUGGUCAUUAAAAAUCCCAGGGCGUUUCUCAUAAAGUGUAGGGGUGUAUUCCCAUUGGCUCUCCUAAUUCUCCUAAUAAUCUCCAUCUAUGAAUUGGUUUCAUUACUCUGCUCUCCUCCCCACUGAUAGCUGAUGUGUGGUGAGCGUUCUGGCGCACUAUGGCUGCCGUCACAUCAUCCAGGUGGAUGCUGCACAUUGGUGGUGGUGGAGGGGAGUCCCCUUUACCUGUAAAGUACUUUGAGUCCAGAAAAGCGCUAUAUAAAUGUAAGUAAUUAUUAUUAUUAUCUUUUUCAGGCUGUGAGCUGCACAACAGAAGAUUAAGCAUCAAGCAGAGCACUAUUGCAGCCCUCUCUGACAAUCUGAGGGCACGGAUGAGAGUCGUGGAUAAAUUAUUCACAAGAGGUGCUUCUUGUGGGUUUAAAAAAGGAGAAAGAGGAAAACUGACAAAACUGAAUGGUCAGGCACACCAUUGGGACUUGACUGGAUCUCCUGAAGUAAAGCUCAUGACACUUCAUGUCAGACAUUUAACAAGGCCAAGUGAUACAAGCUAUACGAAACUAUUUCUACAUGAUCAUUUCAAUUAAUAAGAAAGUAAAAAUUACAACACGACAACAUUGCUACUUCUACUAGCCUGAUGCCAA